ensembl:snoRNA
AUCCUCCUCCAGUUCAUAAGUAUGAUGAUUGGGUCUUCAUGCGUCUGUGUGAUAUGUGCCUCUCUUAAUCCUUGUUACGGCGCUGGCACAUUGCCCAUCUGGCA